rnacentral:rRNA from 1 species
GACGAACCGUGCGAACGUUAUUCGGAAUCACUGGGCUUAAAGGGCGCGUAGGCGGGCCGCAUAGUCAGGGGUGAAAGCCUCCAGCUCAACUGGAGAAGUGCCUCUGAUACUGGCGGCCUCGAGGGGUGCAGGGGCGUGCGGAACUUAGGGUGGAGCGGUGAAAUGCGUAGAUAUCCGGAGGAACACCGGUGGCGAAGGCGGCUUCCUGGACCGACACUGACGCUGAGGCGCGAAAGCUAGGGGAGCAAACGGG